rnacentral:rRNA from 1 species
UACGUAGGGGGCUAGCGUUGUCCUGAUUUAUUGGGCGUAAAGAGCGUGUAGGCGGCCAGGUAGGUCUGCUGUGAAAACUCGAGGCUCAACCUCGAGACGUCGGCGGAAACCAUCUGGCUAGAGUCCGGAAGAGGAGAGUGGAAUUCCUGGUGUAGCGGUGAAAUGCGCAGAUAUCAGGAGGAACACCAAUAGCGAAGGCAGCUCGCUGGGACGGUACUGACGCUAAGGCGCGAAAGCGUGGGGAGCGAACAGG